CUUCAACAGCAUUUUCAUUUGUAGUUUCUUUUUCUAUAGUUAUUGUACUCUUAAGUUCUGGGGUACAUGUGUAGAUUGUGCAGGUUUGUUACAUAGGUUUAACGUGCCAUGGUGGUUUUCAAUCAUUUGUAAUUUCAAAAUCUGAAAUAGCUUUUGGAUUUUGAAGAUCUCCUAAUGUCUACAUGCAACAUAUUCAGUUCCUUUUCUUUCAUCUCUCAAUGGUUGCUCUCAACCAUUGAGAAGGGAGAGAAUAUUUUCCUUUCCUUGUAGGGUUUUUCCUUCCUCAUGUGGUUGAGAUUAUGUAAUGGACACAGAGGAAACAGACAUACCCCACCCUCCAUGAGCCCACAGCCUCUUCAGGAAGGCCCCCCAGACAGGAAGCUCCUUCAGCGUGAGAAGCACCAGGUGAAGUGGGGGCCAGAGAAGAGUGGCCUGGGCCUCAGAGUCUUGCUCGGUAGCCAGGCUGGAGCACAGUAUUGCAGUCUUGGCUCACUGCAACCUCGGCCUCCUGGGUUCAAGCAAUUCUUCCACCUCAGCCUCCCAAGUAGCUGGGACUACAGGAAAAUGCAGCUAGACAAUCACAGUGAACUAUGGGGCGAAAAGAACACACAUGUAUCUGAGUCUGGUGCAUUUAUUCAGUUAUUUGCAAGAGUGAGAACCAGGAUGAGGAUGGAUGUUGAGGCAGCUUGUUUUCACGGGAGCGAGUACAUCUUGGAAGUAUGCUUGCAGAAUGCAAUUCAGGCUGAUGUUAGUGUGUCUCAUUCUGGGGAGAAUUGCAGCCCCCAGAUGGAAGCUGCUCUGACCAAGAAUACUGUGGACAUUGCAGAAGGCCUGGAACAAGUCCAGAUGGGAAGCUUACCUGGAACCAUUUUAGAAAAUUCUCCAUCUCCUAGUGAAAGAAACAGACAAGGAAAUUCAGACCUAGUGACCAAUGGAUUAAUCAAUAAACCCCAACCCCCAGAGAUUCGAGAGCGACAGAAGUCAUCAGACAUCUUGGAGGAACUAAUUGUUGAAGGAAUAAUACAAAGCCACAGCAAAGUAUUUAGAAAUGGAGAAUCAUAUGAUGUCAUGGUGAAUAUGACUGAGAAGCCAUUGAGAAAGCCACCUGCCAGACUAAAAAAACUCGAGAUCAAAAAGCUAGAGAAGGAUUUCACAGUGAAGGAUAUCGAGGAGAAGAUGGAGGCUGCCAAAGAGUGCAGGAAGAAAGAUGCCACAGCCUCCUGCCCUUAGACACACCAACCAUCAGGUAUCAUCCAUUUGUCCCUCAAACUCCAGAAGACACAUCAAGCUCUCCAAGUACACUCUUUGAAGCUUUUCUCAGUUUCAAACCCGGUGGAAUCAAAAAAACCAAACAGAACAACUCUGCAUCUGUUAAUAGGUCAAAGUCCAUCAAUUUCCCCAGUCUCCCCAAAAGUUUGUUAAUUCAAAAUAUUAAAGAAAAAUGUUCUAUUGGUGUUCUCUCUAAUUUGAUUAUUUAGGAUACACAGCUUCCUAGCCUAUCUUAUUAUUGCUGCUUUGUGUUGUCUAAUUACGAGAAACCAUACCUGUACUCCAGCUGGAGUAACAGGGCAAGACUCCGUUUCAAAAAGAAAAAGGAAAGUUAAUGGUUGUAUGUAAAGUGAACUCUACCAGUCUACGUGAUCCACUUGUAAGGGAAAAUUGGCUCUCAUCCUUGAGGAUGGAUCAUUCCAGUGAACCCCAGAUAUGCCUGAGUGAUGGGAGAGGUGCUCAAGAAUGCCUGUUCAAAAGCAAACACCAAGGUUGAACUUAGUUAGAAAAUACCAAGGUUGAAAUCAGCCAUAAGAGACUUCUGGAGGCUCAAACUGGAAGGAACCUUAGAGAUGGUCUAGUCCAAUCUCCUGCUAGAGGCAAGGAAACUGAGGUCUUUGCCAUUCAGACUGCUCUGGCACCAGCAUGAACUAGUGGCAAAGACAAGAGUAAAACCCAGUCCUCCUGGCCCCCAGGCCAACACUUUACAACCUGAUGUUCUUAAACAGAAGCCCCCAACCCUAGGGGAUAUACAUUUAUGUGCCAGAAAAUACUCCAAGGCGAAGCAGAAAUACGCCACUUCUUCCUAAAUCUUGGAUACUACUUCAAGGUGAGGACGUUAAACAAAUGCUUGUUAAAAAAUAAACAUGUUAGACCAGGCUCAGAGACUCAUGCCUUUAAUCCCAGCACUUUGGGAAGCAGAGCUGGGAGGAUUACUUGGGACCAGGAGCGUGAGACCAGUCUGGGCAACAAAGCAAGAUCCCUUCUCUUCAAAAAAUAAAAAUAAAAAAUAAACCCAGCUGGGCCUUUAGUUCUAGCUACUUGGGAGCCUGUGGUGAGAGAAUUGCUUGAGACUAGGAGUUCGAGGCUGCAGUGACCUAUAAUCGUGCCACUACAUUCUAGCCUGGGUGACAGAGUGAGACUAUUUCAAAAAAAAGAAAGAAAAGAAAAGGAAAGAAAGAAGAAAAAAGAGGAGGAGAAAGAAAUAAAAAUGCAUUUAUUAUUGCAGGACAAAACCAAAUUCACAUGACUUUUUAAAGCGAAUACAAAUCUCACAGGAAGUUGAUGCUUGCGGCAGUGAGGUUACGUGGCCCACGGGUAUGUGCUGCUGCACGUUCACUGCUAAGGGCACGUCCUGGACCAGCUUGACAAGCACACUUUUACCCCACGCUGCCUCCAAUGGCCAAGAAAUCCCUUCGAGGAUCACUAUGGCUAAUUUCUUUUUGUCCUGACCCGUUUCUCUUGCGUAUCCCUACUUAGGUAAAUACAAGUGAUUCAAACCAAUAUGUACUGGAAUGUACCUUGUUUCCUGCUUCUUGCAUAGAGGGGGAAAUGGCCUCAAUGUCUUAACAUGUGAAACUUGAAUCAUAUUUAUGCCUUCUCUGCCCUAUUCCUUUCGGACGAUAGGCUCAAUAUAGCAGUACUGAUUUUUUCAAUUUAAUAAUGCUGAAAAGGAAUAAUUUAGGUCUUUUCACUUAAUUCUACAGUGCUUUUUUUUUCUCUGUUGCCCAGGCUAUAGUGCAGAGGCGCCAUCUCAGCCCACUGCAACUUCUACCUCCUGGGUUCAAGUGAUUCUCCUGCCUCAGUCUCCCGAGUAUCUGGGACUACAGGCAUCCGCCACCACACCAGGCUAAUUUUUUGUACUUUUAUUAAAGAUGGGGUUUCACUGUGUUAGGCAGCAUUGUCUUGAUCUCCUGACCUCAUGAUCCACCGGCCUUGCCCUCCCAAAGUGCUGGGAUUACAGGAGCGAGCCACUUUACCCGGGCUUUUUUUUUUUUUUUUGAGACCAAGUUUUGUUCUUGUUGUCCAGGCUGGAGUGCAAUGGCACUAUCUUGGCUCACAGCAACCUCUGCCUCCCGGAUUCAAGCGAUUCUCCUGCUUCAGCCUCCGAGUAGCUGGAACUACAGGCAGGUGCCACCACGCCCAGCUACAUUUUCGUAUAUUUAGUAGAGACUGUUUCACUAUGUUGACCAGGCUGGUCUCAAACUCCUGACCUCCAGUGAUCCACUUGCCUUGGCCUCCCAAAGUGCUGGGAUUACAGGCAUGAGCUACUGCUCCCUGCCUAUAGUGCUUUUAAAAAGUAUUUUUUUCUUCUUAACUUUCCUUUUCCUUUUUGAGACAGAGUCACCCUGUCACCCAGGCUGGAGUACAGUGGCACAAUCUUGGCUCACUGCAACCUCCACCCCCCGGGUUCAAGUGAUUCUCCUGCCUUAGCCUCCUGAGUAGAUGGGACUACAGGCAUGUGCCACCAUGGUGACUAAAUUUUAUAUUUUUACAGGAGACAGCGUUUCACCAUGUUGGCCAGGCUGGUCUCAAACUGCUGAACUCAGGUGAUCCACCCACCUCGGGUUACCCGGGCUGGAGUGCAGCUCACUGUAGCCUCAAACACUCCUUCUGCCUCAGCCUCCUGAGUAGUUGGACCUACAGGCGUGCACCACAACACCUGUCUACACAGUGCUUUUCGUUAAUUUGCAUAAGAAAGAUGUUACCCAAUUACAUAUUUACAAUCUCAACUUACUAUCACUCCCAUGUUUUAAAGAGGAAGCACAGCCCCCAACAGCCCUUCAUUUACUCCCUGUGCUGCAAAAGGAGGUACUCUUAGAAGUUAGUAAAAGGACCUGUAGUAUGAGGCUUCUGAAAGAGUGCUGAGUGUUUGAACAAUUUUUAUGCUUUUUCCCAACUGUCUUUAGAUUUCAUCAGAAAAGCUAGAAUUAUUUAGCUAAUUCUGAUUUCAUUUCUGUCCAGAGAAACAGGCUACAAAACUUUAUCUUUAGAGUUCCUUUUCACUAGUUACUUUGUGAUGUGCCGCACUGAUGACUCCAAUUCUUCACCUUUCUUCUUACUAUGCAUUUAUCUGCAUGAUCUCACAGCUCUUCUUGUCAAAUGGCAGAACGUACUUCCUUAUCCUUUGAUUAGGAAUUUAGUCAUGUAACUUGUUUUGGCCAAUGAGAUCUUAACAGAUGUGGCAUGAGCAGAGGCUUAAGAGGUGCUUGCAUCUAUCUGCUUGCUCUCUUUUGACUCUGCCAUUACCAAGAGAAGAACACGUUCAAGCUAGCCUGCUAGACCUAGGAGCAGGAGGAGCGACAGAUGGAGCAAAGCCACCCCCAGUCAGCCCAAGAUAAGUGGGUGCAUCCUGCCAAAAGCAGAAGUUGGAUAUUUUAUGUAAGAACUUUGACGGUUUCAUUCUACUUCUCCUGGCUUCCACUGUUCUAUUAAAAAAAAUCAACCGUUACUCUUACUGUUUCUCUCUGGCUCCUUGAAAGAUUAUUUUCUUUGAUUUUUUUUCAGCAGUUUCACUGGGAUAUGUUUAGCUAUGGCUUUAGAUUUAUAUUUCCUGAGGUUUUGAAUGAUUCUUACAUCUAUGGCUUGAUAUCUCUCUGGGAUUUAAAAAAAUUUUUUUUUUAAUUCUAGAGCAACUGUUGUUGCUCUGGAAUUCAGAAUAGAUAUGAUCUUCCACUUGCAAAUUCUCUUUUCAUCUGAGUCAAAUCUGCUAAUAAAUGCAUCCACUGAGUUCUUAAUUUCAGUUCUUGCAUUUUUUUACUUCUAAAAUACAAUUUGAUUCUUUUCAUGUUUCACGUUUCGAAUCUGUCAAAAUUCUUAUCUGCUUUUUAAAAAUUUACUGAACUUCUAAAAUCUUAUUUCAUGCUCCAUUAUCUGUAGAUUUAUUUCUCUUUUUAACUAUUUCUCUUGGGUUUUUGUGGGUUUUUGGCCAUGUUAUGUUGUCGCCUCCAGUGACUGGUUAAUUUUUGUCAUACAUGGCACAUAAGAUGUGAAAGAUGGUAAAGAUUAUUUUAGGUUUGGGAUGAUGUUAUCUUCCGCCAGAGGGUUUUAUAUUUGCUUGUAAUAGGCUAUCCCAAAUCACUUUGAUCCGAAGAUUGAGACUAUUCCAAACUGAUGUACAUUUGGUUUACCCUUUCUUCUAAGAUGUCGUUCCUUAGGGUCUCAAUCCAAAGCUUAGGGAAGACUUUCCAGUGCAUUCUCCACCCUUGGCAGCGCAUGAUCUCUAUAUUUUGUCCUCUAAGGUUUAUGAGUUAGUGGAGAGCUUUUCUCAGAUUUUUAGCUGCCUCUUCUGAAGUCAACAGCUAUUUGCAAAAUAAAGCAGCCACAAACACUGAGCCCAGCUCUCUGAGUUUCCUCUUUCUUCUGUAUUUUAACCCUAUAAUCCUUCAGUGCCUCAGUAGCUAUCUUAUGUCAUCAAACAGCAUUUCCCCUCCAUGUUCUCUGUUUGUUCUCUGUGGGAAAAAAAACCCAAAGUUAUCACAGAAAGAAUGAAAUUUAUCAGAGAUGUUGAAAACCAAACACUUUUCAAGUAAUAAACGAAAAUGACUGCUAAUAACCUAGUUUUAUAUCUGGCACCAAAAAUUUUCAAAAGAAAAGUUAAAGUUAACAUACUUCUAGAUACACACAAAUGGAGAUAAUUUGUCACCAGUAAACCCAUAAUAAAAGAAAUGCAAAAGGAAUUUCUUCAAGUGCAAGGAAAAUGAUCACAUCUAUGUGAUCCCCAUAAAUCCAGAAGAAAUGAAAAGCAACAGGAAUGGGAAAAUGUGGGUAAAUCUAUAUAAAAAUUGACUGUACAAAACUAUUAACAUUUUAUAAGGCUCAUAUAUAUAUGUAUAGAACUAAAAUGCCUGACAGUAAUAAUACAGAAGGCAUGCGGGAACAGAUAGAGUUAAAGUGUUCUGAAGUUCUGUUUUGUUUUGUCUUGUUUCUGAGAUGGGGUUUCACUCUUGUUGCCCAGGCUGCAGUGCAAUAGCGUGAUCUUGACUCACUGCGACCUCUGCCUCCCAGGCUCAAGUGAUUCUCCUGCCUCAGCCUCCUGAGUAGCUGAGAUUACAGGCACAUGCCACUAUACCCAGCUAAUUUUUGUAUUUUUAGUAGAGAGGGGGUUUUGCCAUGCUGGCCAGGCUGGUCUUGAAAUCCUGACCUCAGGUGAUCCACCUGCCUUGGCCUCCCAAAGUGCUGGGAUUACAGGCAAGAGCCACCAUGCCCAGUCCUGAAGUUUUAUCGUUUUCUAUAAAGAGGUAAAAAUAUGAUUCUAUAUUACACUUAGAUGAGUCAAGGGUAUACUCUGUAAUCUCAAGGAUAACUCCUAGUAAAAGAAUAUAGAACUAACAUACCUAUGGGUAGUGGUGGUAGUAAUUAAAUGGUAAAUAUAAUCCAAAUGUAUCCAUGUCUAGAAUCACCUUAAAUGUAAACAGACUAAAUACUCAAAAUAUUGUCAAACUGGAUUAAAAUAAAUGCAAUCCAACUAUAUGCUACUUUUAAGAAACACACUUUAGGGCCGGGCACAGUGGCUUACACCUGUAAUCCCAACACUUUGGGAGGCCAAGGUAAGUAGAUCAUCUGUGGUCAGAAGUUCAAGAACAGCUUGACCAACAUGGAGAAAUCCCAUCUCUACUAAAAACACAAAAUUAGCCAGGUGUGGUGGUGCAUGCCUGUAAUCCGAGCUACUCUAGAGGCUGAAGCAGGAGAACUGCUUGAACCUGGGAGGCAGUGGUUGCAGUAAGUUGAGAUCAUGCCACUGCACUUGAGCGUAGGCAACAAGAGUGAAAUUCACUCUGUCUCAAAAAAAAAAAAAAAAAAAAAGACACACUUUAAAUAUAAGAACAAAGAAAAGUUGAAUAGAAAAGAUGGAAAAAGAAAUACCAUAAAAACACAAAGCAAAAUAAAGCUAGUGUUCUAGCAUACCAAUACCUUGCAAAGUAGACUUUAAGCUACGAAAUAUAAAUACAGAUAAAAAGGAACAAAAUGAUGUAUAAUAAUUACAAAUUUCUAUAUGUAUUCUCAUGAAUUGAGACUACAUAAAGAUAAUUUUGACAGACAUAGAGGAAAAAAUACACAAAUCUACAAUCAUAGUGGGAGAACUUUAACUGUCUCUCUCAGUAACUGAAAGAUCAAGCAGGAAACAGUAAAGAUACAGAAGAUCUGAACAACAUGAUUGACCAACUUGGAUAAUUCGGGAUAUAUAGAACACUUACCUACAACAGCAGAAUAUAUAUUUAAAUGUAUGGAAAACAUCUAUCAAAAUUGACCAUGCAUCCAUAAAGCAGGUCACACCAAAAUUCAGAGAUUUCAGUUAAUCAGGAUAUGUUUUUUGACCACAGUGGAAUUUAGCUAGAAAUUAAUAUGAAGAAUAUAACUUUAAGACCCAAAUAUUUGGAAAGUAAACAAUAAAUUUCUAUUUCAAGAAUACAAAGUUUCAAAAAAAGUCCAGGAUCAGAUGGAUUCACAGCUGAAUUCCACUAGAUGUAAAAAGAACAGCUGGUACCAUUACUGCUGAAACUAUUCCAAAAUACUGAGGAAGAGGGACUUCUUCCUAACUCAUUCCAUGAGGCUAGUAUCACCCUGAUAACAAAACCAGACAGAGACACAACAAGAAAAAGAAAAUUUCAGGCCAAUAUCCUUGAUGAACAUCAAUUCAAAAAUCCUCAACAAAAUACUGGCAAACUGAAUCCAGCAGCACAUCAAAAGACUGAUCUACCAUGAUUAAGAAGGCUGUAUCCCUGGAAUGCAAGGUUGGUUCAACACAUGCAAAUCAAUAAAUGUGAUUCAUCACAUAAACAGAACUAAAGACAAAAACCACAUGGCCAAUAUCAUACUGAAUAGGCAAAAGCUGGAAGCAUUCCCCUUGAAAACUAGCACAAGACAAAGAUGCCCUAUCUCACCAGUCCUAUUCAACAUAGUACUGGAAAUCCUGGCCAGAGCAAUUAGGCAAGAUAAAGACAUAGAGGGCAUCCAAAUAGUAAGACAGAAAGUCAAACUAUCCCUGUUUGCAGACAACAUGAUCCUAUGUAUAGCAAACUCCAUAGUCUCAGCCCAAGAGCUCUUUAAGCUGAUAACUUCAGCAAAGUCUCAGGAUACAAAAUCAAUGUACAAAAAUCACUAGCAUUCCUGUACACCAACAACAGUCAAGCUGAGGAUCAAAUCAGGAAUACAAUCCUGUUCACAAUUGCUCUCUCCCCACCCCCGCCCCACACACAUGAACUAAGAAUACAGCUAACCAGAGAGGUGAAAGAUCUCUACAAGAAGAACUAUAAAACACUGCUCAAAGAAAUCAGAGAUGACACAAACAAAUAAAAAAACAUUCCAUGCUCAUGGAUAGGAAGAUUCAAUAUUGUUAAAAUAGCCGUACUGCCCAGAAGAUUCAAUGCUAUUCCUGAUAAACUACCAAUGACAUUCUUCACUGAACUAGAAAAAAACAAUUUUAAAAUUCAUAUGGAACCAAAAAAAGAGACAGUAUGGCAAUUCCUCAAAGACCUAAAGACAGAAAAACCAUUCAACCCAGCUAUCCUAUUACUGGGUACAUCCCAAAAGGAAUAUAAAUCAUUCUACCAUAAAGAAACAUGCAUGUGUUAUGUUCAUUGUAGCAUUAUUCACAAUAGCAAAGAUGUGGAACCAACCUAAAUGCCCAUCAAUGGGAGACUGGAUAAAAAAAGUGUGGUACAUAUACACCAUAGAAUACUAUGCAGUCAUAAGAAAGAACAAGAUCAUAUCCUUUGCAGGAACAUGGAUGGAGCUGGAGGCAAUUAUCCUUAGCAAAUUAACACAGGAACAGAAAACCAAAUACUGUUCUCACUUGUAAGUAGGAACUAAAUGAUAAGAACAUAAGGACAAAUAGAGGAGAACAACACAGACUGGGGCCUACUUGAGGAAGAAGAGUGAGAGGAAGGAGAGGAAAAAUAACUAAUGGGUACUAGGCUUAUCUUAUCAUUAAAUAUGACAGCUGAUGUUUGUUUUAUUUUUGUAGUCACUAUUAUAUAGAGAAGCUUUGUUUGUAUCUUAAAUAAUCAUAAAUAGGAAUUAAAUUUUACUAUAUUUUUUCAGAGGUCUUCCUUCUGUAUCUAUCAACAAUACCUGGGUAAUAAAAUAAUCUGUACAAUAAACCCCCAUGACCGAAGUUUACCUAUGUAACAAACCUGUACAUGUACCCAGUGAACUUAAAAUAAAAGUUAAAUUAAAAAAAAGAAAAGAAUACAAAGUUGGUUUAAAAUUUGAAAAUUCACCAAUAUAAUUCACUGCAUUAAUAGAAAUAAAGGAGAAAAAUUAUAGUUCGUUGAUAGAUACAGAAAGAAGACCUCUGAAAAUUUUUAGUAAAAUUUAAUAUCUAUUUAUGAUUCUUUAAAAUACAAACAUCAAAACAUCUCUAUAUAAUAGUGACUAUGAAAAACAAACAAAACAACAACUAUCAUAUUUAAUGAUAAGACAAUGAACAUUUUCCCUGUGAGAUCAGGGUAGAGACAGGGAUUCCUGCAAUCAACACCUACUUAACAUCGUAUUUCAUUUCCUAGCCACUGCAGUAAGGCAAGGGGGGAAGGUACAAAUUACCACAAUAAUAAUCGAUUCAAGCAAGAAUUACUAACAGUGUCAAAGUAUUGUUUCACAAGUUUAUUAAUUACAAAGGCAAAAGAAAAGUUUAUAAGGGAGAAAUCUGGCAAGCACCAUCCUAACCAAGUGAUAAAAAUUAACAUCACCAAUAAUAGGUCACAUCAUGUGCCUCCUGUUGUGAUGACUGAGAAAUACAUGUUGUCACAUAAAAAAUUUUUCUUCCAAGAAUGUUUAUCUUGAAUAUAAGUAUCAAGUGUCCAUCAGACAAAUCCAUAUUAUUUGAUAUUCUGCGUAACCAGUGGUCUUUAAAAUUGUCAACAUUAUGACAAUUUCAUAAUUUGGAGCACUGUUCUAAAGAAUUUAGGGGUGGAAUGUCAUGUUAUAUGCAACUUUUGUGACUUAAAUAAUUCAGCAAAAUAUAUGUACUCAUCUAUCUAUCUAUCUAUCUGUCUAUCUAUCUAUCUGUCUGUCUAUCUAUCUAUCUGUCUGUCUCUCUGUCUGUCUGAAAGAUAUAAAGAGGGUUCACACACAAAAAACAAAUUAGCAAAAUGUUAAUAAUUGAAACAGGGAUCAGCAAACUAUAGCCCACAGGCCAAACUGGGCUGAAACCUACUUGAAAACUCAUAAAGUUUUGUUAUAACACAGCCAUGCUCAUUCAUCUAAACAUUAUCUGUGGCUGUUUUUUACUACAACAGCAGAGUUGAGAAGUUUUUAUUAUGUUAUUAAAAAGACUGACUUCCAUCUUAGUUUCUCUCUCUUUAUCUUUCUCACUCUCUAACUCUCUAGUUUGCUAGAACUCUCAUGCACAGCCAGUGGGGGUAUAAAUUAAUAUGGUCACUCUAGAAAGUUACCUGGAUGUAUCUACUAAAGCUGCAUGCGCGUGCACACACACACACACACACACACACACCCUCCUAUGACUCCUAUGUAAAUGCAUUCAUACCCAUUAGAAAUGUGUUCACAACAAAAUCAUGUACAAUAUGUAUCAUUUGCAAACACAUAUCAAGAUUUGCAAAAAGUCAAUGUCCUAGACUACCAAAAAAGGUCUCAACAGUUACCAAGAUAUUGAUAUAAACCCGUCUCUGAUCGCAAAGCAUUAAAAAUACAAUUCAAGAACAAAAGCGAACCUUCCCCCACCCUGGGUUAUUGUAUGUUUGUAACAAAAGAAAAAAGAAAACAAAUAUUUAAAUAAUGGGGGUAAUGGGACAAGAAAAAUCAAAUAUAAAUUAGAAAAAUGUUCCAAACUGAAAGAUAGUAAGAGGGUUACAUAUGCUAAUUUCUAGAUACAACUAUGAUGGAACUUAAGUGAAGUGCAAUCAUCUCAGAUGCACUUGUUAGAAAAGAAAAGAUUGGAAUUCAAUGAUGUAAAUGUUCAACAUACAAAGGUAGAAAAAAUUAGAAGAGUAAACAACAUGAAUAGAAGAAAGUAUCGUUUGAGAUCAGAAUUUAAUAAAACAGGACAUAGAAGCAAAGUUAAUUUAAUUAGUAUCUAUACUCCUUCUGAAAUGCACAAAGAUUUUCAAAUGCAUUGCCUUUCCUAUUUUCCACAUUAUUAUCUAGUACGUUUUUUUCAUCUUGCUUAUAAGCAAUCCCCAACAAAUCACUCCUUACUUAGACAAUAUUGUUGAUUUCCUGGACUAUUAUUGCUUCUUGCAUCCCAUUUCCGUUUGCAAUCAAUUGUUCUCUUACUUAAAUAUAUUCUUUAGUAGUUAAGUUCUGUGAGUAAACUCAUAGUCUUUUGUGUGUGUAUAUCUGAACAUGGCUUCAUUUCAGCUUUGGUCUUGAAUGAUGGUUUAGUUUAGUAAUGAAAUUCGAUUAUUUCCUCUGGUGUUCUAAAUUCUUUUUUGCAGAUAAAAAGUGAUACUAAUCUAAUCUUCAUAGAGAAUCUCUUCAUAAAAAGCACAGUUGACCCUUUAACAACAUGGGUUUGAACUGCAUGGGUCCACUUAUAUAAAGAUUCGUUUCAAUAAAUAUAUUGGAAAAUGUUUUCGAGAUUUGAAAUAACAUGAAAAAGUUGUAGAUGAACCAUAGAAAUAUUAAAUAUUUGUAGAUGUAGCCUAGAAAUAUAAAAAAAUUAAGAAAAACUUAGGCAUAUCAUGAAUGCAUGAUGUGUGUAGAUAGUAAUGAAAGGCAUACCUGUAGCCUCUAAUACGAUUUGAGAAAAAGCGAAGUCAUACAACACCUUAAAGCAAAAGGAAGAAGAAAAAUCUAAAGCUGGAAAAUUUAAUGCCAGCAAAGGAUGGCUCGAUAAUUUUAGAAUGAUGUUUGGCUUUAAAAUGUCAAGAUAACAGAGAAAGAGCUUCUGCCAACCAAGAAACAGCAGAUGAGUUCCCAGACACCAUUAAGAAAAUCAUUGUUAAGAGAGGGUAUGUACCUGAACAGAUGUUCAAUGCAGACAAAAGUGUCCUGUUCUGGAAAAAAAUGCCACAGAAGACAUUUAUUAGUAAGAAAAAGAUGUGAGCACCAGAAUCUAAAGCAGGAAGGGAUAGGCUAUGUCUACUGUUUUGUCCCAAUGUAGUAGGGUUUUUCAUCAGGAUUGCCCUUCCAUAAGGCUGCUGAGCCUUGAAGGGAAAAAGAUAAACAUCAGCUGCCAGACUUCUGGCUGUUCAAUAAGAAGGCCGGUCAGUUUGUGGACAGACAUCCACUAAAUAGCUUGCUGGAAUUUUUGCUGAGAUUGCAAUUGCUUUGAGUCUAUAGAUCAAGUUGGGAAGAACUGACAUCUUGAUAAUAUUUAAUCUUCCUAUCCAUGAACAUGGAAUAUCUCUUCAUUUAUUUAGUUCUUCCUUGACAUCUUUAAUCAGAAUGUUGUAGUUUUCCUCAUAUUCCUCACGUGUUUUGUUAGAUCUAUACCUAAGUAUUUCAUUUGGGGAGGAAUGAAUGUAAAUGGUAUUGUGUUUUUAAUUUCAAAUUCCAUUUGUUAAUUACUUGGAUAUAAAAAAGUGAUUGACUUUCGUGUAUUAACCUUGUAUCAUGCAAUCUUGCUACAAUCUAUUUUUAGUUCCAGGAGGGUUUUUUUGGUCAAUUCUUUCAUAUUUUUUAAAUAGACAAUCAUGUCAUCUGUGAAGAAAAUGUAAUUCUUCCUUCCCAAUCUGUACACCUUCUCUUUUCUUUUCUUAUUUUAUUGCAUUAGCUAGGACUUCAGUAAGAUGUUGAAAAGCUGUCUGGUUAUUUUUAAUCAAUAAACCAGAAAGUCUUAUUUUGGUAAACAAAUUGCUCUUCCUUGUGUCCUAGUAAUUAAAAAAUUAUCUAAAGUUAAAGGCCUUUAAUCAGGACCUGCUUUACACUAGAAGCUUACAAAGAGAAAGGGGAGGGGUGACUCAUUCUCUAUUUUCUCUCCUUAUGCUUCUCUAAUGCUUACCCCCUACUCCUUGACUAAGUUGAUUUCUAGAUCCUCAAAGUGGAGUGGGGUAUCCUGGUGCUAGUUUUCUGGGAAAGGAGAAAGGUCUGGCAGAAGAUGUUUUGCUUUACAUGAUCUGUUUUGCAUGAUUUCAUGUACUUUAGUGCUGAUUCUUCUAUUUGGGAGCAGUUUGAGUUUUUGAGUCGCCAAUGAAAUUCCACAUUGUAGUUUUAACAGAGGCAACACUAAUGCAACCUGCCCUCACUGGCUGUCCCUAGCAGUUUAUCAUGCAAUCUUUUAUUGCUUGGUUCCCCUCAUAUUGGCAGGCCUCCAUCUUGGGCAGGCUCCCUUCAAGUUGACCCCUGUUCAUGAGUUGGCAGUGCCUAUUUAGCCCUUAGGAAACAACAUAUAUUUUCCAAGCCAAAUGAAGAAGUAUUCCAAAUAUCACUCUUCCUUCUGGCCUUGCCUGGCACCUGCAAGUGGUUAUAGUCAAAGCCUUCUUGAGAUUGAGUAAAAAACCGGUCCCUGUGUUUCCCCAAAUUCAAGGGGACGAUCUGAGAUUCUCCAAAUGAUCUUCUCAAAACCCCUUUUAGUAGACUUAAGCGGACUCUUCCCCACUCCAACACACACACACACAAAUGUGAAAAGAUAAAAAAUACCCCAGCCUUUAACUAAUUUUUCCUGAGAAAUGCUCUCCUGGCUUCUUCAGCUCAAACCUUUAAACUAUUAAAGUAGGUUUGGCCUCAGUUGUCAGUGGUUUUUAGCACUUCCUUCCCACAUAUGCAUAGGUAGUUUUCUGGUGGCUUUCCUUGUAAUGAGAGAGUACUUGCCCCCUAAUAUUUUGUUAUUGGCCAGUAAGACAGACAUCAGAGAGCAGAAAUUGGCCAGGCCCAGUGGCUCAUGCCCGUAAUCCUAGCACUUUGGGAGGCUGAGGCAGGUGGAUCACGAGGUCAGGAGUUCAAGAGCAGCGUGGCCAAGCUGGUAAAACCCCGUCUCUACUAAAAAUACAAAAAUUAACGGAGAGUCGUGGCAAGCUAAUCCCAGCUACUCGGGAGGCUGAGGCAGGGAACUGUUUGAACCUGGGAGGUGGGAGGUGGAAGUUGCAGUGAGCCAAGAUAGUGCCACUGCACUCCAGCCUGGGCAACAAAGCAAGACUCCAUCUCAUACACACACACACACACACACACACACACACACACACACACACACAGCAAUUAAGACAAAGUUCCAUUAUAACAUUCAAUUACAUACAGUUUCUUUCUAUUUUUAAGAAAGUCUAUUUUUCUCUGGUGUGCUGUAGUAUUUUUCUCUGGAAACACACCACUCCAACGUGUUUAAGUGUGGAUUCAUUGUUAUCCUAUUCAUAACUUGGUGUGUAUCUGCAUGUCUUUCUUUGAUCUGGGAAAUAUUCACCCAUUAUCUCCUCAAAUACUGCCUCUCUUCAAAUAAUGUUCCUUGUAUGCAGAACUCCUAUUAGACAUAUGUUGGGCCUCGUGAUUCAGUCACCUAUGUUUCUUUUAAUAUUUGGGCAUAAUUUCCCCCAUAUCUUGUUCCCUCUAGAUGAGUGCCUCAGCACUAUCCGACGGCACACAAUUUUUCCCUUCAUCUGUAUCUCACCUCCUGUUUACUUAUCUAUUGCAUUUUUAAUUUUUUCAUUUCCAGAGGUUCUUUUUGAUUCUUUUAAAAAUCCACUUUUUAACUCACAGUAUCCCAUCUGUCAAUACAAUCUUUGCUUUAUCUUUUGUCUCUCUAACGAUUUUAAACAUACGUAUAGCAUUCUUUCCAAUUAUCUCUUAGGUCCAGUACAUGUGCUCAUAGGAAUACUACUUGUUUUGUCUGUUGACUCCUCCUCACAGUGUUUCAUUUCUCUGUGUUAUCUGUACCGUUUUCACUGGUAGCUCAUACUCAGUAUGUCUCCCUCCCCAAGGGAAAUCCAUUAUAUCCAAAUGGUGGAACUGUCCCUGUACAGCCUUUUUUUUUGGCAUUUUCUUCUGUUAAGGCCCCAGAGUUUUCAGUGACUACAGAAUAAUUUUCAUGUUUAUUUCUAUGCUUCAGGUUCCUUUGCACUGUGGGCAAUAAAAAUUUGGGCUUUAUACCUGCACGUGACACAGGUUUAAAAAUUUAUUUUUUUCCCUUAUUUAGAUUUUCUCACACAUGUACCUCAUUCUUGGGUACCAUUGCUCCAAGAAAACCACAAACUUCUUUUUUGCUUUCUGAGUUGUUGGGCAAAGUGCUUUUCUGGUCCUUUUUACAUGCAAGGCAAGCCUUCAAUAUUCCCAGCUUUAAGAAGGAGCCUCAUUCCAAGCUCCCCUUCUUGCACAGGUUCAAGUUCAUAUAUCCUGUUCCUCUGUGAACGUUACAGUCCUGCCCAUUUAGUAGUCUGCAUUGGGUCUUUAUUUGGGUUCUCUUUGGGGCUUUACUUUUUUAGUUCCUUCUUCUGACUCCACCUUUGAGUUUUUUCUCUGUUCCCAGCAUCUAGGCAUUUCCAUUUCUAUCAAGAUAGGUGACUUAUUAUCUUUAUCAUUGCUAGUUCAUGUUAUUGAGUAUCAUAGAGAAGUUGAAGUUUUGGAAUCAGACUGUCUAGAUUCAAGUCUCAGCUCUGGCACUUACUGGAUUUAUGACCAUGAGCAAGUUAUCAUCUUUAAAUAUAAGUUUUCUUAGUUGUAAAAUGGGAGUAAUAAUAAGACCCAGCUCAUAUGAUUGCUGUGAGGAUUAAGAGAUGUAAUAUACAUGGAGGGUAUGGAGCAGUGUAUGGCACAUAUUAGAAGUCCAAUAGUUAUUAGGUAUUAUUCUUGUUAUCUUUCUUAUGAUUGUCAUCACCAUUAUCAUCGUAUGCAUUGUCAUGUGUUUAUAAAAACAGCUCCCACCAUUUUUUUUACCAGAAAUGCUGCGAUAUACUUUUUAAUCCCCAAACACGAUUACUGCCAUUGGUGACACUAACCAAGACUCCUUCCUCCCUAGCUCAUGCAAACUUAAAAGGUACUAAUCAAUUUUAAAUUUAGUCUGUGUAAACUAUAAUUUAGAAGACUGAAGUGUUUCAAGGUCAGUUUACGUAUUUCUGAACUAAUUAUAAAUAAUGUGUAUUGCCUUCUUUUUUCUUUGAAUUAUUUGAAUCAUGGUGUCCCUACAUCAGGGCAAAUGAUUGAGAGAAGGCAAUUGCGUAUUAGUGACAGCGCCAAUGGCUCGACUAUCAAAGACGGGCUAUUUGAGUUGAAUACUCUGUUGUGAAUCCCCUGGAGAAACAGGUCCUCAGAAGUGAGCAAGAAUGAAUGAAGUGGAGCAUAAUGAGGGAGGCUUUGUAGUAUGGUCUAAUGAAUGACUCCUUGACAUUCUCUGAUCUCUGACAUGACAGGCAUAUGGUGUUUAUCAAUAAAUAAAAAGGAUAUAGUUACACUGAGGCUGAAGCAUUCAGGGAUUGGUAACAUUUGGUAAGCUGGCAAGCUCUCUGCCCCGCUCUUUACCCUCACAGGUAGAAUAAAACAAAAUGUCUCCAUAAGAAUCUAUUUAUAGUAUAUGAUAGUCUUUGGUUGUCUUUAGUUUCCCCAAAGAAGCAGUAGCUCAUGCUCUAAUUUGCAUCCAUGGACGCAUGUUAGUGUAUUAUCUAAAUGACACUUUGAGGUAAUCACAAACAGUCCUUAGAACUUUCAAUGCACAGAUUCUUUUUAAAAAAUUUUCAACUCUUAUUUUAGAUUCAGGGGAUACACGUGCAAGUCUGUCACAUGGUAACAUGAUAUAACUCUGAGAUUUGGGGUGUAGAUGAUCCCGUCACCCAAGCAGUGAGCAUAGUGCGCAAUAAGCAAUCCCUCAGCCUGCACCCCACUCUUUCCUGCCUGCCUCCAGCAGUCACCAGUGUCUACUGUUUCCAUCUCUAUGUCCAUGUAUACUUAAUGUUUGGCUCCCACUUAUAAGUGAGAACAUGUGGUAUUUGGUUUUCUGUUGCUGCAUUCAUUCACUUAGGAUAAUGUCCUCCAGCUGCAUCCAUGUUGCUGCAAAUGACAUUUCAUUCAUUCAUUUUAUGGCUGUAUAGUAUUCCACAAUGUCUAUGUACCACAUUUCCUUUAUCCAGUCCACUGUUGAUGGGCACCUAGGCUGAUUCCAUGUAUUUGCUAUUGCAAUACACAGCUUCUUUAAAAUAUCCCCAGCCUGAAGGCUGACACAUUUCGUAAGACUAAUAAUUAUCUGGUGUCUGACAAAAAUAGUACAUUGUUUUUGGUUUUGUGUUCUCUACCAAAAUCUUAAUAACAGGCACAGCUUGGUGCUCUUCAACCUGUGGCAAAAGGCGAGAGAUACAUUGACCAGGAAACUCCAAUGGGAAGGGUAGAGAGAACAGGCUCUCUGUCUGCCUAUUUUCUACAUAGAGGCUGUAUUUAUAGAAAAGCAAACAUUCUGUCAGAAACAAACAGUUCAACGCAAACAAUCACACCAAAUGAACCUUCAACGUGUCUGUAAUCCACAAAUUUGCCACAGCUUCUCAGAAAGAAGCCGUUACAACGGUGCCGUGCAUAAAGCAUCUGCUUGAUAGAAUCCUUGAUAUAACUCUUCAAUCCUUUCUUUCUCUCACACUCCAUUUUCAACCUUUAGGAAAUGCUGUUGGUUCAAGUUUCAAGAUACUCCCAAAUCUCACCACUCUACAUGACUUCUGCUGCCACUACCACAGUCUGAGCACCAUCACCUCUCCCUCUGAGAGCUGUGAAAACUUUCUAAUGGUCUCUCUGCUUCUAUACUUUUUUUUUUUUUUUGAGAAGGAGUAGUCUCGCUCUGUUGCCAGGCAGUGCAGUGACAUGAUCUCAGCUCACUACAACCUCUGCCUCCUGGGUUCAAGUGAUUCUCCUGCCUCAGCCUCCUGAGUAACUGGGAUGACAGUUGUGCUACUAUGCCCAGCCAAUUUUUGUAUUUUUAGUAGAGAUGGGGUGAAACCCCAUGUUGUCCAGGAUGGUCUCCAUCUCUUGACCUUGGGAUAUGCCUGCCUUGGCCUCCAAAGUGCUGGAAUUACAGGCAUGAGCCACGGCACCCAGCCACUACUAUACUUUUAUGUAUUCCAUACAGCAGGUAGAGAGAUUCCUUUAAAAAAAGAUAGGUCAGGUCAGGUCAUACCUGUGUUUAAAAUCCUACAUUGGCUCCAAAGUCCUUACAAUGGCUCCUAGGCCCUUGGAUCUGGCUUCCCAUGUUUGUUCCUUCCACUCUCCCCUUCUUGCUCUCUCUCACUUUUCUCAAGCCAACGGAUAUGACCCCCUUGCUGUUCUUCAAAUAUUCUAGACACUGUCCCUUAUCCUGGAAUAAUCUUCCACUGAAUUCUGGAGGGUGCAUCAAAAGUGUGUGUGUGUGUGUGUGUGUGUGUGUGUGUGUGUGUGUUUCCAAUCUCACCUUCCAGUGAGGUUUAUGUCUCCAAUUACCCUAUUUAAAAUGAGAGCAUGCCCUCCACAAACGCACACACCCAGGUCAAAGGAUCCUACUACUUUUUUCUUUUACCCUAAAACAUGUAUCAUCUAACAUACUAAAUAGUUUAUUAUUACUAUGUUUAUUGUCUUGUCCAACUCUCUCCUCUAAAACAUAAGCUCUAUAAGAGCAGGAAACUUCUAUUCAGUGAGGUACCCUUAAGUACCUAGGUUAGGUUCACUGACAAAAUAAAGUGCACCCAGGGCAGGGCGAGGUGGCUCACACCUGUAAUCCCAGCACUUUGGGAGGCUGAAGCAGGCGGAUCACGAGGUCAGGAGAUCAAGACCAUCCUGGCUAACAUGAUAAAACCCUGUCUCUACCAAAAAUACAGAAAAUUAGCUGGGCGUGGUGGCGGGUGCCUGUAGUCCCAGCUACUCAGGAGACUGAGGCAGGAGAAUCACUUGAGCCCGGGAGGUAGAGGUUGCAGUGAGCCGAGAUCACACUACUGCACUCCAGCCUGGGCAACAGAGCAAGAUUCCAUCUCAAAAAAUAAAAAAUAAAUAUAAAUAAAGUGCACCCAGCAAAAUCUGAAUUUCAGGUAAACAAUGAAUACUUCAUUUUAAAAUAAGUAUGGCCUAUACCAUCAUUGGUUUAUUUAUUGUUAUCUGAAAUCAAAUUUAUCUGGGAAUGCUAUAUUUUUAUUUGCUAAAACUGACAACUCCAAUCUAUAAUAAUGCCUGGCAUCAUCAUCACAAGAAACAUUACAUGUGGUCUACUUUUUAAAUUAAAAUAAAUUUGUUUUGUUAAAAAAAAAAAAAGAAAGAAAAAGAAAGAAAGAAACUUUAGGAAUAUAUUUAACCAAUGAGGUGAAAGAUCUCUACAAGGAAAACUACAAAACACUGAUGAAAGAAAUUGUAGAUGACACAAACAAAUGGAAAAACAUUCUAUGCUCAUGGAUUGGAAGAAAUAAUAUCAUUAAAAUGACCAUACUGUCCAAAGCAUUUAGAGUCAAUGCAAUUCCUAUCAAAAUUCCACAUCAUUUUUCACAUAAUUAGGGGAAAAAAAUCCUAAAAUUCAUAUAGAACCAAAAAAGGGUGAAAAUAGUUAAAGCAAGCCUAAGCAAAAAGAACAAGGCUGAAGGGAUCACAUUACUUGACUUCAAAUUAUACUAUAAGACUACAGUAAGCAAAACAGCAUGAUACGGAUAUAAUAAUAGACACAUAGAUCGAUGGAACAGAAUAGAGAACCCAGAAAUAAAGCCAUAUAUUUGCAGUCAACUGAUCUUUGAUGAAGUCAACAAGAACAUACACUGGGGAAAGGACACCCUAUUCAAUAAAUAGUCCCUGGAAAAUUGAAUUGCCAUGUGUAAAGGAAUGACACUGGACCCCUAUCUCUCACUGCAUACAAAAAUAAACUUGAGAUAGAUUAAAGACUUAAAUGUAAGACCUGAAACUAUAAAAAUACUAGAAGAAAAUUUAGGGAAAAUUCUUCUGUACCUUGGUCUUGGCAAAUAAUGCAUGACUCAAACCUGAAAAGCACAAGCCACAAAAACAAAAAUUGGACAAAUAGGGCUUAAUUAAACUAAAAUAUUCUGCACAGCAAAAGAAAUAAUUAAUAGAGAGAAAAGAUAACCUGAAUGAGAGAAAAUAUUUGCAAGCUAUGUAUCUGACAAGGGACUAACAUCCAGAAUUUUCAAAGGAUUCAAACAACCUAACAACAAAAAAUCCUCCACAAAUAAUCUCAUUAAAAAGUGGGCAACAGACAUAAACAGACAUUUCUCAAAAGAAGAGAAACAAAUGCCAAAGCUCAGCAUCACUAAUGGGUUUGGUGCAUUGGCUCAUGCUUGUAAUCCUAGCACUUUAGGAGGCCAAGGUAGGAGAAUACUUGAGGCCAAGAGUUCAAGAUCAGCCUGCAUAACAGCAAGACCCCAUAUCUAAAAAAACAAAAAAAAAAUUAAAAAUUAGCCAAGUGUGGUGGUGCACACCUGUAGUCCCAGCUCCUUGAGAGGCUGAGGUGGGAUGAUUGCUGGAGCCAUGAUUAAACCACUGCACUCCAGUCUGGGCAACAGAGUGAUACUCUGUCUCAAAAAAAAAAAAAAUCACUAAUUAUCAGAGAAAUCCAAAUCAAAACCACAAUGAGCUAUCAUCUUACUUAGUCAGAAUGACUAUUAUUAAAAAGAGAAAAAAUAACAGAUGUUGGCAAGGAUGCAGAGAAAAGGGAAUGCUGAUAUACUAUGGGUGGGAAUGUAAAUUAACCUCUAUGGAAAACAGCAUGAAGAUUUCUCAAAGAACUAAAAAUGGAACUACUAUUCAAAUCUGUAAUCCCACUACUGGGUAUCUACCCAAAGCAAAAUAAAUCAUUAUAUCAAAAAGACACUUGCACUUGUAUUCUUAUCACAGCACGCCUCACAAUGGCGAGGAUAUGGAAUCAACCUAACAAAUAAUUGUCCAUCAACGAUUAUGUACAAUGGAAUAUGUCUAUAUGUACAACGGAAUACUGUUCAGCCAUUAGAGAAGAAGGAAGCAUGUCUUUUGCAGCAACAUGGAUGGAAAUGGAGGCCAUUAACUGACGUGAAACAACUCAAGACACAGAAAGACAAAUAUCACAUGGUCUCAUUUAUAAGUGGGAACUAAAUAUUAUGCACACAUGGACAUAGAGUAUAGAAUGACAGUAGAGAAUUGGAAGCAGGGGGAGGAGGAUGAUGAGAAAUUACUGAGAACAACGUACGUUAUUUGGGUAAUGGAUACUCUAAAGGCCCUGACUUCACAACCAUGCAAUCCAUCCAGGUAACAAAAUUACACUUGUACCCCAUAAAUUUAAACUAAUAAAAAAAUUAAUUGGCUUUUGAAAUUUUAAUGGUAUUUUGGGCUAACUGAAGAUACCCUGACCUGUCUCAAGAAAAGUUUUAUAUCAUUGUAGUAAAUAACUUUAGGAAAAGUAAAUGGCCAAAAACAAAAACAAUGAAAUGAGAAAAGCUAAGAACACCAUCUAUGAUGCAACAGCACAAACAUAUGUUAACCGAUAUUAAGCAUUAUUCUUUAUGAUAUUGGGCAAAAAAUAACGGAAUAUUCCAAAACCAAAGUUGAAAAAUAUUUUGGAGAAAUCUUAUUACAGUGGAAAGCUAGAGACUGAGUUGAAGAGUGUAGCGUAAUGUAUUAUUGAAGAAUACACGGAGAAUGAGAACCUGACCCAGAUUAACCCACGUCCAGCCUCUACUUGUCCUUUCCAGUUAACUGUUGCCACUCACUACUUACCUGGUCUUGGGAGAGUCACAGUCAGACAACUCACUUUUAUAAUAAGUGAGGUAUCUCGUUACAUAAAAAGUCAGAUAACUCACUUUUGUCAUAAGAUUUGUAAGAUCCAUUCUAUUCCUAGAAAUCUGGAUUCUGUAUACAAGUAUGACCAGAAAGUGAAGAGUCUAUUUUUACAAACCUACUAGGAAUUUUAUAUGAUAAUAAAUAUGAUCAGAGUAGUCACCAUAAUAAGCUGUUCACUUAUUCCAAAGGUGAUACCAGUGCUCCAAACAUUUUCGGCACUUCUAUUUGGUAUUUUAAGAAAUACUAACAAAUGGUUUUACCCCAGCCAGUAAGAGGCAGAGCUAGAACCUGAGCCAUGCACUGUGGCAGCACCAUCUGUGAUCUUAACAUCUGUGCGGAACAUCUAUGGCUUUGCCCCUUUCACCCUGUGAAGACACAGCAAAAACACAGCCAUUUGUAAGCUGGUAAGCUGGCCUCCACCAGACGCUGAAUCUGCUGAUGUCUUGAGCCCGGAUUUCCCAGCCUCCAAAACCGUGAGAAAUAAAUUUCUGUUAUUUAUAAGCCACUAGUCUAUGGUUAUUUUUGUUGUAGCAACAUAAACAGACUGAGACACCACCUCAGGCAGCUACAGUGUUAAACAAUUACCACUGAAAGUUUUUGACAAGUGCCUGAGGAAAAAGGCUGUUUGCACCAAGUUCUGCAUGAGUCAAACAAAGACCAGUUCUGUGAAUGGAAGUUUUCAGGGAGCUGCCAGAGAGAUAAAAAAUAAAAAAAAAUUCUGGAAACUGUGCUUUCCUGGGAUGCUCCAACACCAUUUCGCUCCCUCCAGUGACUGCUGGGCUGCUUUUUCCACACCUACCACGGCUGGGAGACUAUAUGUUUUCAAGGCUACUGUGGAGCUGGGCAGAAGAUGAAAAUAGGGUAAGAUAAAAUAUUCACCCUCUUGUUAUCAAGACUUAUGUAUUUUUAUUUUUAAUUUUUUUACUUAUUUAUUUUGAGACAGGGUCUCGCUCUGUCACUGAGGCUGGAGUGCAGUGGCGCGAUCACGGCUCACUACAGCCUUGACCUCCCGGGCUCAGGCGAUUCUCCCACCUCAGCCUCCUGGGUAGCCAAGACUACAGGCAUGCAUCACCACAUCCAGCUAAUUUUUGUUUUUUGUUUUUUUUGAGAUGGAGUUUCGCACCCAGGCUGGAGUGCAAUGCCUCGGAUCACUGCAAUCUCCGCCUCCUGGGUUCAGGCAAUUCUCCUGCCUCAGCAUCCUGAGUAGCUGGGAUUACAGGCACGCACCACGAUGCCCAGCUAAGUUUUUGUAUUUUUAGUAGAGACGGGGUUUCACCAUGUUGACCAGGAUGGUCUCCAUCUCUUGACCUUGUGAUCAACCCGCCUCGGCCUCCCAAAGUGCUGGAUUACAGGCUUGAGCCACCGCGCCCGGCCAAUUUUUGUUAUUUUUUUUUAUAGAGAUGGGGUUUUACCAUGUUGCCCAGACUAGUCUCAAACUCCUUAGCUCAAGCAAUCCACCCGCCUUGGCCUCCCAAAGUGCUGAGAUUACAGGCACUAGCCACUGUACCUGGCCACUGUUUUUAUUCAAUAAAACACUCCUCAAACUGGGGUAAGCGUUUGAUUAAUUUCCAGAGUUCUGAAGAGGUUUACUUUGACAAUUCAGUGGCGUGAUCUCAGCUCACGACCACCUCCAUCUCCCAGGUUCAAGCCAUUAUCCUGCCUCAGCCUCCUGAGUUCCUGGGAUUACAGGUGCCCACCACCACACCCGACUAAUUUUUGUAUUUUUAGUAGAGUCAGGGUUUCACCAUGUUGGCCAAGCCGGUCCUGAAUUCCUGACCUCAGGUGAUCUGCCCGCCUCGGCCUCCCAAAGUGUGGGGAUUACAGGCGUGAGCCACUGUGCCUGGCCACAGUAUGUUUUUAAACUGGGCAAUUUAGACUCUUUGAUUCUUCUUGACCAAGAAAGACAGAUCAUGGUUUGGAACUACUGUCCAAACCUAUUAUUAUUAUUAUUAUUAUUGAGAUAGAGUUUCACUCCAUCACCCAGGCUGGAGUGCAGUGGCAUAGUCUUGGCUCACUGCAACCUCCACCUUCCAGGCUCAAAAAAUUCUUAUGCCUCAGCCUCCCAAGUAGCUGGGACUACAGGUGUGAGCCACCACACCCAAUUACUUUUUGUAUUUUUAGUAGAGAUAGGGUCUCACCAUUUGGCAAGGCUGGUCUCGAACUCCUGACCUCAAGUGAUCUGCCAGCUUCACACUCCUUUUAAACCCACGGCACAUUUUACACUAUCACAUACAGCUUCUCCAAAUAGAAUCCUUUUCGGUUGAGCCCCACCCUUGCUUUUGACAUGUGCAAAUGGAUAAUACUAAACAGCUCAUUGAUUUCCAUGUGAGAAGAAAAAUCAGUCCUUUCUUCCUACUUUUAAGCAGCUAUUUAUAGUUAAACAUGAAUUUCUCACAUAGUUCUUCUGAAAUCUUCAUGUUCUACCCCUUUCAUCCUGAGCUGAGCUUUUGCUGAGCUAAAAUAUAAAAGAACACAAGUAUAAUCACCUAAUAUUAGUAAAAGUGUAGCAGAGAAAUCAGGAUACAUCAUAGACACAAAUCACUUCAGAAAAGUUCUUCUCUGCCUUAAACCAGUAAGACAUAAAGUAAGGUCAUGCAAUCUAUCUUUUUAAACACAUCUUGUCUGUGGAUGAAUAUGAUUAGAAGAUAAUGCAAACUUUAACCAAUGUAUUUUGGCAUUUAGAAAGGAGUAUUUUUACACAUGUAAGAUGGUUCCAGGAAAACGAAGAGGUAGAUUCAAGUUUCUAACAUUUCAAAAAUUCUUCAAACCUGUGAUACGUUACUAGUCAGAAGUAUUUUAUUCUUCCCAAACUUACCUUGGGAAUUUAGCUGAGAUGACGGCAUCUCAAUGUCAAUAGGUUAAAAAAAAAUACAUAGACUGUAGAUAU